rnacentral:misc_RNA from 1 species
UGGAUAUUUGUACCUACACUAACAAAAGUUUUGUUUUGCAUUUGCAUAACUGGAAUCAUUAAAAUUGAUGGAAAAAUUUUAGACAAAGUUGCCUCAUGGCACUAGUUUUUUACAAUGAAAUUCUGAGAGAAAAUAUUAGUCAAAUACUUGCUAAUAUCCCAACUGAAUUGGAAAUGAUGCUCAUAUCAUAUUUCAAAAUUGCAGAAUAAAU